GACGAACGCUGGCGGCGCGCUUAACACAUGCAAGUCGAACGGAAAGGCCUGCUUUCCCUUGUGGACUGCGGGUACUCGCGUGGCGAACGGGUGAGUAACACGUGCUUCAUCUGCCCCCAACUUGGGUAUAAGCCUGGGAAACUGGGUCUAAUUCCCGUUAGGACUGCAGGGUGGUGGCUGUGGUGGCAAACGAUUUUCUAGUGUGUGGGGAUGAGCUCGCGGCGUAUCAGCUUGUUGGUGGGGUAAUGGCCGACCAAGGCGGCGACCGGGAGCGGGACGGGGAGGGUGGACAGUCGAAUUGGGACUGGGACAAGGCCCAGACGCGUGCGGGCGGCAGGGAUGGGGAAACAUGGAGAAUGAGCGGGAUCCUGAUGCAGCGACGCCGCGUGGGGGAUGACGGCCUUCGGGUGGUAAUCUACUUUGGAGCGAGAGGAAGCCACCUGGUUGGAAGGGUGGUGACGGUAGUGGUAGAAGAAGCACCGGCUAACUACGUG
rnacentral:rRNA from 1 species